CAGUGAACAAAAUAUUUAUUCUUAAACAAUUACAUGACCUCUGAUGCUCCAACAAAUGGACAAGACAAUACAAAAAAAGUUACCAUAAAAAUAAGACGAUGACAAAAGUGUGACAGUGAAGCAGUCCAUGUCCUAAAACAAAACACCGCAUCACUGACGGACACAUGGAGGCGGUGUUGGAAUGUGACGAGUAGUGUGUAACCAGGACAGAAAAAAGGCGUUACAUCUGAGGAGAUGAGCACAUCCUGCUACAUGUAUCAUUGCUCCAGUCAAUGUGGGGUUGACACAACAGAAGAAAACAAACAUAAAAACCCAUUCGAAUAUCUGAGAUUCAGCCCUGAGAUUAACACACAUACAACAUAGUUUUAAAAAAUCCAAGCAUUUUGCAAGACUGUAAUAAUAAAACAUUCUCCAAAAUCUCUAUUUGGUACAAGUGCUUGAAACUGGAAAACAAAAAACAAAGAACUACAGGCUCAGUGACACACCUGCUUACUUAAAAAUAGUUGAUUAAAAAAUGUAUUAUUUCACUGCAACAAAAUAUAAAAACGGCAAAACAGAAAGAUGGCACAAAUGGAACAGACAUGGUGUUUUCAGGGUAGGGAGAUUUGUGUGUGUGUGUUGAAUCCUGCUGCUGCUGGUGAGACACUAAGCAGACGAAGCCUUCAGCUGCCACUGUGUGGAUGUCUGUUGACAUCGAGUAAUGGCUUAAUGGGCCUCACACAGCACAGCGCUGCUCCUAAUGGCGCUAAGGAGAAGUACACAGACUUUAACACCAACACUGAUCACAAAGACUUUUUCUUCCAAAACAAAAAACAGAGUCUGACGUCCUCAACAGGUACGCUGGGUUUGUCCCACACAGUAGGUGAGUACCUGUGCAGUCAGAGGGUUUUACUAGGAGGCGGCCCAGCACGUAUCUGGUUUUACUAACAACAGUCUGCUGCAGAAAAGUGCAUGCAAGCUGCCCUCAGGAACACCGUGUGCAGUACAUCCACAGAUUUGUUGUUGGACCACAAGCUAGUGAAGGAACACCGAGUCCAUGUAGCGCUGGUAAGUCAGAUAAGGCUUCUUCAAAAGCAGCAUGUAGGCCCAAGUAAAGACAUCAGGAACCUUAAUACUAGCGCGGCCAUUCCUAUUCAAUUUAAGACUGAUGGAACACCAGAGUAACCGUUACCCCUCCUUGUUGAGUCUGAAGUCAAACGAGCAGCUGAGUGGUCCUGUGUACUCUAAGGGGGUUGGUUUGUUGAGAUGAUGACAGGGAAAUCUAACACAGGAUUCCCUUUCCUUUAGGAGUGGAAGAAAAUGAAUUGUUUAUUAAUUUAUAAACCCCUAACACAACUCCUAACAAUUCAGACUGAAGUUUAUUAAGAUUGGGCAGAGGUGGGAGGCAGGCAGUUGGAUCUGACUAUUUUAAGUUGACAAGGUGACCAAUGAGCCUCAAAACGGCAGAUAUAAGAGCCUGAAGCCAACAAAGUUUGGAGGCAGCGGUCAGCUGAAGACAGUAAUACUGCAGCUGGAGCAGAGGGCCAAAGUGCUUCCUGUGAAAAUACAUUCAAAUACAUGCACGCUUUGCGGCUCGCUCAGUAACACCUGCUGGGUGAAUCUGCACUGGCAACAGAAAGCAUAAUGAUCCAACAAGGUGUUGCAUUAAAUCUGGAACCCUGUUGUGUAGAUGAUAAUCAGGUACCUUUACUCUGGGAGGGUACUACCUUGAGCCAUCGGCCCCUUCUUUCUGUCCCAAAAAUCUCCAUGACUGGCUUUUUAAUUCAGCAUCAAACUGCUUUAGCAAUAACUUAAAAAACAAAAAAACAAAACACUCAAUCCAACCUCUUUGACAACUGCUAAAGAAACCAACACGAGAAUAAAUAACCCAAAUAUAAUCAAAUACUUAGAAAAUCUUUAAAAAAAUUAAAUAUCUUUGAUUGUUAUUCAUAUUUAAUUCAGAAGAAGAAGAAGAAAAACCCCCCAAAACAUCCCAUAUAAAUAACUACACAAAUAACAAAUUCAGCAUGUUACUUCAAGAAUGGUUCUCCACAGUCUGCGGGUGGUGUUGGCUGAUGAGUACUGUCAGACUGGACUGAGGGAGGCUUCGGUGACUGGGGUCCUCCAGUCCCAGUGCCUGGUGGGGGUUAACAGUGCAGUUGAAGGACAGAGGGUGAAGUUAAGGUUUGCGGGUGCUAGCUGUCAGUCAGAACAACCCUGGUCCAGUGUCGCCAUGGUUACCAGCGAGGUGGUGGGAAGGCCUGCGAAAAUGCUGCAGGUGAAUUUUCU
ensembl:lncRNA